rnacentral:tRNA from 1 species
GAGAGAUGGCUCAGUGGUUUAGAGCACUUGUUCUUACAGAGGACCUGGGUUCAAUUCCCAGCACUCA